rnacentral:misc_RNA from 1 species
AACGAGGCCGACCUGCGGCUGAGUUACCUGCGGAGGGAUCAUUAAAAAAAUGAAGCCGGCCAAACGGUCGGCAUCAUAAUCCUUUAAUACCUAUGUGCACUUAUUGAACCUUUUUGCUUUGGCAGGAGAAAUCCUGUCAGAGGUAUCCCAUCAAAACCUGAAUGUUUUGACUGACCUUUUUUUAAAUAAAAAAAUUUUGAAUACAACUUUUAACAAUGGAUCUCAGAUCGGAAGAGCACA